AGGAUAUACCCUUUCCCAGACCUCAUUUAAGGGUUGGCAGGGGAGGUGAAGGUGUCUCUUUGGAGAGCCUUGCCUUCUGGAGGCCUUUUGAAGGAGACCCCCAAACAAGACAAAAUGUUACGGAUGAUGCAACCUCAGCAGCAGGAAGCAAAGUGUGAAAGGAGCAGAUCAAUGUUCAUUGUCCAUACGCAAGCUCAGCAUGUUUGAGCAGCUGUGCAGGAAAAUGACUGAUUUUCCUGGGUUAAUAACUGAUUUUCUACCCAAUCAAAAUCCAAGACAUGGACUGCUAGGUUUGUAAUCAGUUUUUACAACAUCUUUUUGUUUGUUUUUGUUUUUCUGUAUGGGGUAAAAUGUAAAUAAAAUGGAACAUUCAGCAAAAUGAGGUACUUCUGAGGAAACUCCUUUUGAGUUUAAGGAUGGAAAAAGAUUAACUGUUCAAGGAAAAAGUACAUUGCAAUGCACUACAGUAUCAGUGUAUUGUUCUAUAACAAAUGUGUUUCUUUACAAAGAUGAUAAUAAACCCAAACCUUCUGGUGGUCUAUUGAUUUGUUUGCAAAUUCAGUCCUAAGGCUUGGCUUUGCAAAGCCUUGGGCCCUAGAUCGGGUGAAGCAGUUCAUGUCAUUAAUUCUUGUAUGUGCCUAACUUAAAAUAUAGAAUUAAAUGUUCUUGCAUUUUGAGUAUUACACUCAUAUUUAAC